rnacentral:rRNA from 1 species
CGUGNAGGAAGAAGGCCUUCGGGUUGUAAACUGCUUUUGUACGGAACGAAACGGUCUGGAUUAAUACUCUGGGCUAAUGACGGUACCGUAAGAAUAAGCACCGGCUAACUACGUGCCAGCAGCCGCGGUAAUACGUAGGGUGCAAGCGUUAAUCGGAAUUACUGGGCGUAAAGCGUGCGCAGGCGGUUAUAUAAGACAGAUGUGAAAUCCCCGGGCUCAACCUGGGAAUUGCAUUUGUGACUGUAUAGCUAGAGUACGGUAGAGGGGGAUGGAAUUCCGCGUGUAGCAGUGAAAUGCGUAGAUAUGCGGAGGAACACCGAUGGCGAAGGCAAUCCCCUGGACCUGUACUGACGCUCAUGCACGAAAGCGUGGGGAGCAAACAGGAUUANAUACCCUGGNAG